AUUUCACACACUGUGCUCUACCAAAUCUAGUUGGAGAGGCCUAAUUACUUUUAUUACUGACAGUAUCUGCAAUAUGCUCCGAAAAAUUAUAUGGUAACAUUAAAUGUUUUGACAUCUAUUUUUUUCUUUUCACAGACCUUUCAGAUCCCUCCUCACAUCCAUCUAUCUCUCUAUCCUUUAUAGCGACCCAACGGCACUUUUAAGAGCCACUCGUCUGUCUGUCUAUCCAUACAUCCGUUUAUAAUCUGAUUAUAGAUAAUCAAUUUGUCUAUCUACCUAUCUGUUUGUCUAUCUAUAUAUCUAUCUGUCUAUCUCUCUAUCUACUUACCUACCUACCUCUCUGUCGUUCUACCUUUUUGGCUUUCUUUCUGGCUGUUCAUCUGUCUGUCUGGCUGACUGGAUACCAUGCCAGGUUCAACCCAAAAGACCUGCCAGUCAUGCAAGGCACAAAUAAAUGUUGGCUGUAAACACUGCAAGCUGUGUGGGGCUUCUCAGCCCCAGAAAGUGAAAUUGCAGCAGGCCAAAGACAAAGCAUCAAAGGAAUGGGCCCAAAAAAUGUUGAAUGGAAGAAACACCUCAAAGCUGAUAAAUUCCACCAAUCUUCUACUCCACAAGUUUCACAUGUUGGGUUAUUACCCCCUUCUUCUUCUUGGGAGGAGGAAGACGAGGCAGGCCACAAAUUUUAGGGCAGAUGUUUUUUAUCCUCAGCAGUUUUCUUCAGAAAUGGAGAGGACAUCAAUUUCUACAAUUCGUUUGCUGUAUGAAGGUCUUCUAAAAGUGGCUCUUAAUCCAGAAGCCAACCCCAACUCUUCAAAUGCUCCUGAGACCAACACCAGCUCUGCCCAUACUCCUGAGACCAACACCAGCUUUUCACAUGCUCCUGAGACCAACUUCAGCUGUUCAGAUGGUCCUACAGAGAACCCCAGCUCUUCAGUUGCUCCCCUUCAUACUGAACCUACAUACACCUUAAUUCUUACUCCUGUUACAUCUGAAAAGGAAAAUUCCACAGUGGUUCUUAAUCUGGAAGUCAACCCCAGCUCUUCAGAUGAUCCUGAGACCAGCCCCAUCUGUUCAGAUGCUCCUGAGACCAGCCCCUUCUCUUCAGAUGGUCCUGAGGCUAGCCCCAGCUUUUCAGCUCCUCCUGAGCCCCGCAGCAGCUCUUUAGAUGAACUCAAUCCAAUUCUCUCCCCUGUUACAUCUGGAAAUGGGAAUUCCACAGACAAGUACCCCUGCAAGAAAAGAACACAAGAAGUAACACCAAAUGUGUCCAGCUCGACAUUUAAUCGUACUUUUCCCUGCAAGAAAAGAAGAAUAAAGAUCAACCCAAGUGAAUGCCCUGUCCACACUAUGGCUGACACCUACCCAGUCCAAAAAAUUUUAUCACAGAGGGUAUCAAAAGAGGGCACAAAAGAGGUCAAAGUCCGUUGGCAGCAGUGUUCUGGGUGGUAUGUGAACUUUGUCAUUUGUGAUUUAAUUCUGAAAUUAAAAUGUGAAAGUUUAUGUACUUACAUAAGCAAGUCACUGCGGAGGAUAGAGAGGAUUACAAGGCUCAUUUCUAUUCACACUCCGAUUUAUAAGAAUGUAUUUUACGUAAUGUGAUGCCUUAUAUUUUGUUUUCUUUUUUUGCAGUGGCAUCAAGUGGAAAGACACAUGGGAGCCUUUCAACGAGAUAUUCCCGUAGUAAUGAUUUGAAAUAAUACUCUAAAUUAUUCAUUUUGGAAUUUUGAUGUUUAGCAUAACUAUUUCUAGGUGAUGUGUUAUUUAUUCAUCAUUACCCUUGUCAUUCAUAA
ensembl:lncRNA